UCACUUAGCUGGCAGGGGAGAUACCAUGAUCACAAAGGUGGUUUCCCCAGGGUAAGGCUCAUUCAUUCCACUUCCAAUGUGCUGACCCCUGAGAGGUCCCCAAAUAUGGGAAACUUGAUUGCAUCAUUUGUGAUAGUAGGGGACUGCGUGCGUACUCUUCCCUG